rnacentral:rRNA from 1 species
UACGGAGGGUGCAAACGUUGCUCGGAAUCAUUGGGCGUAAAGGCGCGUAGGCGGCCAUCUAAGUCAGACGUGAAAUCCCCCGGCUUAACCUGGGAACUGCGUCUGAUACUGGACGGCUCGAGUUCGGGAGAGGGAUGCAGAAUUCCAGGUGUAGCGGUGAAAUGCGUAGAUAUCUGGAGGAAUACCGGUGGCGAAGGCGGCGAUCCUGG